rnacentral:rRNA from 1 species
GUGAGGAAUAUUGGACAAUGGGGGCAACCCUGAUCCAGCAAUGCCGCGUGUGUGAAGAAGGUCUUCGGAUUGUAAAGCACUUUCGACGGGGACGAUGAUGACGGUACCCGUAGAAGAAGCCCCGGCUAACUUCGUGCCAGCAGCCGCGGUAAUACGAAGGGGGCUAGCGUUGCUCGGAAUGACUGGGCGUAAAGGGCGUGUAGGCGGUUUACACAGUCAGAUGUGAAAUCCCCGGGCUUAACCUGGGAGCUGCAUUUGAUACGUGUAGACUAGAGUGUGAGAGAGGGUUGUGGAAUUCCCAGUGUAGAGGUGAAAUUCGUAGAUAUUGGGAAGAACACCGGUGGCGAAGGCGGCAACCUGGCUCAUGACUGACGCUGAGGCGCGAAAGCGUGGGGAGCAAACAGGAUUAGAUACCCUGGUAGUCCACGCUGUAAACGAUGUGUGCUAGAUGUUGGGUAACUUUGUUAUUCAGUGUCGCAGUUAACGCGUUAAAGCACACCGCCUGGGGAGUACGGCCGCAAGGUUGAAAC